GAUGAACGCUGGCGGCGUGCCUAAUACAUGCAAGUCGAGCGAACGGACGAGAAGCUUGCUUCUCUGAUGUUAGCGGCGGACGGGUGAGUAACACGUGGAUAACCUACCUAUAAGACUGGGAUAACUUCGGGAAACCGGAGCUAAUACCGGAUAAUAUUUUGAACCGCAUGGUUCAAAAGUGAAAGACGGUCUUGCUGUCACUUAUAGAUGGAUCCGCGCUGCAUUAGCUAGUUGGUAAGGUAACGGCUUACCAAGGCAACGAUGCAUAGCCGACCUGAGAGGGGGAUGGGCCACACGGAAACUGAGACACGGUCCAGACCCCUACGGGGGGCAGCAGUAGGGAAUCUUCCGAAAGGGGCAAAAGCCUGAGGGGGCAACGCGGGGGGGGGGAUGAAGGUUUUCGGAUCUAAAAACUCUUUUAUUGGGGAAAAAAAUAUGUGUAAGUAACUGUGCACAUCUUGACGGUACCAAAACAGAAAGCCCCGGCGAACCACG
rnacentral:rRNA from 1 species